GUGUAGUUAUACAAUUGUCUGUUAAUUUGCACUUGCUCUGUCAGUGUACAGCAGCCUACCUGUGGAAAGUCUUAUUUUUCUGGGCGUCUGUGUUAAACGAUCCAUGUAACUUCUAUGAACGAAUUGCCUCAAAAAUAAUGACUUAAAAACAACGGGUGCAUGACGGGUUAAACACUUCGGCGUGGAAUUAAAGGACACGGACACGUAAUUGUUUGACAACUGGGAUUAUUUAAUCUGUGCCGCGUUUUAACAACAAAAGAUUGGAAAAGAAGUACAUAAGGAGUGAAAACUGACUGAAAAACAAAACCUGUUUCAGUUUCUUUUUUUUUUUUUUUAAUUUGUACUGUACCUCCCGUUUAAAGUGACCGUGUUCAGAAGCUUGCUCCAGUAGCUUAACGAGGUAAAACAAAGUGAAACGCCUCAGAGGAAAAUGGCAGAAACUAAAAGUUGGUGGAAAUCCGUGACAUUACGAAAGAAAACAAAAGAUACUGCGGUUCAACAAGAUAGCAGUCAAGAACACCAACCAUCGCACGACAAGACGGCAAUUUCAACAAAUUCAACCGGCUUUCAGGAAAACAAACACCCCAACGUAAUGGACAGUGAAUGCACUGAACACAAGCUCGAAAAUGGAUUUCACGAGAAAACCUCUAGAAGGAAUUUGAAAAUCUCUCGAUCAGGCCGCUUCAAGGAAAAGAGGAGGGUGCGCGCAGGGUUACCCGAGAACAACAACUUCUAUGAAGACAAUAAUAACGCUUCCGUUAGUGAAGAACUGCAUUGAAAUCAUCAGAACUGAGCACAAGAGCUUUGUCUAGGUCAGGCGCAAGGAAUGCAUGAGAUCUAUCUACUGGAAUUCAAUUGUCCAUUAAUAAUGCCUUAAAUAUUGUACACAAUUAUAAAAUAUGUAUUUGUGACAAUGCAGGAUAUUUUGCACAAAAGGUCGGUUUUUAUAGAUCUGCCUAUUUUUGUUUUUUUUUUUCCUGGGGGGAUUGCAUUGUAUUUGACAGUGUGCAAAAUGCUAAUUCGUGAUUUAAAGCUAGAAAAUUGGGAAGCGGCUGCUAUCGACAAUAAAAUGAUUUCUUAAAUAAUUUUAAUAUUGUAUAUACAAGGAACUUAGAGCUGCAGUAGAAACACAAUGUUUGCUUGACUAUUAAUUCAACUGAAGGAUUUAAAAUAAAGUUUUGCAAUUUGGAAUUGUUCUUUGUAUGAGUUUAUGACAGCUAAGCAAAAUUGCACUAGAUUAUUAAUGUUCAAAUUGCACACGCCCAACAACACAUCUGCUGAAUCUACAGUAGUUUCAAGGUCGACUCUCUUUUUUUUUUUUUUUACAGUACAGUAAGCUCCUGUGGGGACGUUGCCAAGCAUUCGCAAUGGCUUUACUAGAACCUUUAGAACAUACCUUUUCAGCAGCUAUUGUCAAUGUACACUUUGCAAAUAUUAAACAGUGUAUUCGCAGCAUAAUAGAAGCACAUAACCAUUCAGAGCUAUUGAAAUUAAUGUUAACUUAUAUAGCAGAUCUUUAAUUCAAAGGUGUUUUCCUGACCAUUUAAAUUAUUUCCUUAAUUGUUUUUUUUUUUUACAUAAGUCAGAUUAAUAAACAUGAAGUAUUCUUUUAUUUUAUUGUUGUAACUGCAUGUGACUCAGAUAUUGUACCAACUCUAUUUUAGCUUUCAUCGAAAGUGGCUAAUUAUCUUCAUAACAAAUUAAAUGUUUUCCUGGAA